GCCGUUGGGGCGGCCGCGCGCAGCUUCCGGAAGGUUCCGGGCCCCGGGCGCGCCCUGGGGUGGCGGGGGGGGGGGGGGGGCGCGCCCGGCCGCGUGCCCGCGCCUGUGCGCUAAGGGGAGCGCGGGAGGGGCGCAGCAAGCGCGCCCCUGCGGGCGGUGCCGGCGCGCGGCCCCCCCUCCCUCCGCUGUGCGCGCGCGCGGGCCCGUGCGGUGCCGCGGGCCCCUGUGACCUUUGUGAAUAAGGUGAUCGCAGAAGGGCGCGAGAGGAGCGCAUCCUGCGGCGUUCAGCCGGCCUCGCUGGGAAGUCUUCGCUGGGGGUCGUGGGAGCUGCAGCAUUUACGCCUGGAUUUACGCCGGGAACCGUGACACCAGAAAAAAAACUUACAAAAUCAAACAUUUGUUGGAAUUAUAAUCUUAGGAAGUAAUGAAAGAAUCCUUCAGUUUUGAAGACAAACCUUGAGCAACUGUGAUUAAGGGUCAAGCCUUGCGGAAGAAAAAUUGCCAUGUGGAGCAUCCCAUUGACCUCUACACCAAACUGAACUCCCUUGUACAGCUAAUCUGUUAUACUGACGGACAGUUAUGGUUGCAAGUAGAAGAUGCCCAUCAUCUCUUGUGUUUCCUGGCAGAGAGAAUGAAUCAUAUUACUGGGAUAAUGAACCAUUUAAUGACUUGCAUGUUGAUUUAUAAGAUCGUGCUGGAGAGGCCAGUUUAAAAAUCCAAAGCCAUAAGUCACAGUGUUGCUGUGUAUGGCCCAUUGAGGCUGCUUGGCUCCCUUACUAUCAAUUGCUGUGUUAAUCAAGGUGUCCUGAGGGUUUGCAACAGUGAAGUGCUUAAAUGCAACAUCUUUGUGUUCUGCUGUGGCAUUUAUUCAAAAUAAGAAUCUGUUAUUUUUUUCAGGUUUAAAAAUAAUUUAACCAAAUAAAGUCAUCACUUCUGUCUUUUA